rnacentral:rRNA from 1 species
AACGAACGCUGGCGGCAUGCCUAACACAUGCAAGUCGAACGAGACCUUCGGGUCUAGUGGCGCACGGGUGCGUAACGCGUGGGAACCUGCCCUUAGGUUCGGAAUAACUCCCCGAAAGGGGUGCUAAUACCGGAUAUGUUUUCGGACCAAAGAUUUAUCGCCUUUGGAUGGGCCCGGGUUGGGUUAGCUAGUUGGUUGGGUAAAAGCCUACCAAGGCGACGAUGCGUAGCUGGCCUGAGCGGGUGAUCAGCCACACGGGGACUGAGACACGGCCCAGACGACGAAGGGAGGCAGCAGUGGGGAAUAGUGUACAAGGGGCGGAAGGAUGAGGCAGAGACGCCGCGUGGGGGAUGACGUCCUUCGGGUUGGAAACGACUCUCGAGAGGCAAGAAGCGCAAGUGACGGUACCUGGAGAAGAAGCAACGGCUAACUACGUG